AAAGGUUGGCCGCCGGGGUGCGCCGGGACGUCGAUG
rnacentral:misc_RNA from 1 species